rnacentral:lncRNA from 1 species
AGAUCAAAUCCCUAAGGGGUUAACUGAUUCGAUGCCUCACGAGGUCUGAAUGCACAGAUCCUCUACUUCACGCGCACGUCAAGCUCCAUAAGGAAGAGAGAUAAAGUCCUGUGCAUCAAUCCUUAGAAGAAAAGUGAGGAGAGGGACGAGAUCUAAUCUCCAAAGCCUUAAAGCAAUUCUUCAUGCCAAGAACUAGGACCCCA